AUAAAAAGCUUAGGUUAAUUCUGGAUUUCAUUUCAGGUAUGAAGGGGAGACACCGGCGCUCGCUGAUUGGAAUCAGUUUGGUUAAGGAGGUGUUCUGUCCCCUAAACUCACCAGAUCAUCUCUCCAACUUGGCUCAGAUGCCAGCUUUGAUUUCUUCAGUCAGAAGGCACCUAUCCUUCCUGCUACGUAUCAUGGAAGCAGCUGAAGUCUGGAGUUACUGUAAAAGACAUGAACCAGCAGAUCAUCUAAGCUCUUGCAAGACUUCCUUCAAAAUUCCAGGAAGCUGAAAGUCCCUGGAUUAUUAGACACUGUCAAACUGGUCAAGCAGAAAGAGGUUGUUCCCUAAAACAAGAACUGGUUUCUACUCAUGUUACAUCUUCAGGGCACUCUACUCCAUGACCAAGUUCUAUGGGGGACAUUAGAGAAAUAGUGUCAUUUCCGGCCACUUCAGCAGAGGCUUCAAGAGUGUGGCCCCUCAAAUACUACAAAGGCCUGGAGAGACUGAGAAUGGUGAGAAAGAACCUAGACUGGGAUCACAAACUGACUCCUCAAGACAGAGAAAUGAGGACAUGGCGUGGGCCAUGCUACUCAUGCUGUCUGACAAGGUCCGGGCAUGAGGGAAAACUCCUGAAAAGUCAGGAAACUCAUGCUGUCUGACAAAGUCCGGGCAUGAGGAAAGUUUCUGAAAAGUCAGAAAACUCCACAGUUGGCUCCUGCUACUUCCUUUCAUUUGUUUGUGGCAGUUAUUGAAACCACGGAAAUUUUCUAUAAGCUUUAGAAUAACACAAUGAGUGUUGGCAUCGAUGCCAGUUUCGGUAAUGCACACCUCAGUAGUUUGAGAAAAGUACCUUCUAAUGUGAUUGAUAGUGAAACGGUUUCCAAUAUUCCUCCAUGUCUUCCAAUUUAUAAUUCUGUUCUUAUGAGUAACACUGAGUUCUUUCGCAAGCCAUGCUUGAUAAAGCUCUUGGAAUCGAGCCCGGCAAAAGUCCCUCACAAGAGAGGGCCCUGAGGCACCCUGGGAGGUGAAAUGGUCUGAGAGAAACACACCACAUACAGUUCCCAUGGCACCAGGACCCUUUGGUUCUAUAUAGAAAAUAGGAAGCUGCCCUCGAUUUUACAAUGCCUGCUUAGCCUUGUUUUAGUUACCUAGCUUGAACGUAUAAAUCACCAUGCGUGUAGCACCUGUUUCUAUUUUCUGAAUUACAUGCAUCACCUAGGAAAAUAUGUAACCAAGUUAAUGUAACCAAGUAACCAAGUUAAUCAUAGACUAGGAAAAUUAGAAAAAGGACUGUGCACUGUUAAUGAUCAUUAAUAAUUUCUGAAACAAUGUAAAAGUAAAAUCAAUCAUGAUCGCAUGAUGUAAUGAUCUAAUAACAAUUUCUAAUGUUAUAAAUAAAGCCCCGCUGAGGCUAUCAGUGGGAGAUACU